UACAGAGGUCUCAAGCGUUGUUCGGAUUCAUUGGGCGUAAAGGGUGCGUAGGUGGCGGGCAAGUUUGGUGUGAAAUCCCGGGGCUCAACCCCGGAACUGCACUGAAUACUGCCUUGCUAGAGCACUGGAGAGGGAACUGGAAUUUACGGUGUAGCAGUGAAAUGCGUAGAUAUCGUAAGGAAGACCAGUGGCGAAGGCGAGUUCCUGGACAGUUACUGACACUGAGGCACGGAAGGCCAGGGGAGCAAACGGG
rnacentral:rRNA from 1 species